CCCGGUAGUGUUUCCCUCUUGGUUUAGACUUUUCUAUUUGCAAUGCAAAUGGUGCACAGACCAUGGUUCUAAUUAUUCUCUCAGUCACAGGAAUUGAAAAUAUUGAUCCACAUGAGCAACUUCGAUAGAAGGGACAUCCAAAAUUCAUGGAUGUUCCGCCUCUGGCGGCGACUUCUUCUUCCCCGUACGAGAUGUCGCAUUCAGGCUUCAUUUUCCCCUGAUUUUUUCAAUCCAUAGCCUGAAUGCAUGAGAGUGAAUUACCACACCACCAUCUUUUGCACCUCCACGAGGCAAUGAGAACAUGACAGCCUAUGAUACGACCAUUCGAGCAAAUCAGCAGAUUAGGGAAGACCACUCUGACUCCACUCAUGUUCAUCCCUCAUCAAAUUUUGCCGAAGCACAUAAACCAAGAAGCUGUACAGAAUGAUAGAAUUUUAGGAAAUAAAGAGGCAGCAUAAUAGUUUUAUAAUUGCAUGGGCAAAUUUCACCUGUAUUUCAAUUUCAUUUAUUUUGUAAAAUUCAAAGGUAGGACAUGAUCAUGAAAAGGGUAGAAGCAUCAAUUCUGCAGCAUUCAAUGGUAGUGUAAGGAUUGUUUGAUCUCAAUAACAUAGCACGGAGUUGUAAACAUUAUUGUUAGUUUAUUAUACCUUAGUGUCUAUGAAAAUAGUUCUGGUAUUGGGUAA